GACGAACGCUGGCGGCGUGCUUUACACAUGCAAGUCGAACGGUGAAGGUGGAGCUUGCUCCGCCGGAUCAGUGGCGAACGGGUGAGUAACACGUGGGUGAUCUGCCCUGCACUUCGGGAUAAGCCUGGGAAACUGGGUCUAAUACCGGAUAGGACCACUGCCUGCAUGGGUGGUGGUGGAAAGCUUUUGCGGUGUGGGAUGGGCCCGCGGCCUAUCAGCUUGUUGGUGGGGUGAUGGCCUACCAAGGCGACGACGGGUAGCCGGCCUGAGAGGGUGACCGGCCACACUGGGACUGAGAUACGGCCCAGACUCCUACGGGAGGCAGCAGUGGGGAAUAUUGCACAAUGGGCGCAAGCCUGACGCAGCGACGCCGCGUGAGGGAUGACGGCCUUCGGGUUGUAAACCUCUUUCAGCACCGACGAAGCGCAAGUGACGGUAGGUGCAGAAGAAGGACCGGCCAACUACGUGCCAGCAGCCGCCGUAA
rnacentral:rRNA from 1 species